rnacentral:tRNA from 1 species
GCGCACGUAGCUCAGCGGUAGAGCAUUCGCCUUACACGCGAAUGGCCCCUGGUUCGAAUCCAGGCGUGCGCA